rnacentral:rRNA from 1 species
CCUACGGGUGGCAGCAGUAGGGAAUAUUGCUCAAUGGGCGAAACCCUGAACCAGCAACGCCGCGUGAAGGAUGACGGUUCUACGGUUGUAAACUCCUUUUGUUAGAGGAGAUAAUGGCGGUAUCUAUCGAAUAUGCACAGUCUACCUCCGUUCCAGCAGCCGAGGCAAGACGGAGGGUGCCAGCGUUACUCGGAAUCACUGGGCGUAAAGGGGGCGUAGGCGGGAUAGCAAGUCAGAUGUGAAAUCCUAUGGCUUAACCAUAGAACUGCAUUUGAAACUGUUAUUCUAGAGUAUGGGAGAGGUAGGUGGAAUUCGUGGUGUAGGGGUAAAAUCCGUAGAGAUCAAGAGGAAUACUCAUUGCGAAGGCGACCUGCUAGAACAUAACUGACGCUGAUGCGCGAAAGCGUGGGGAGCAAACAGGAUUAGAUACCCUAGUAGUC